rnacentral:rRNA from 1 species
UAGGGUGGAUCCUGGCUCAGAUUGGACGCUGGCGGCAUGCCUUACACAUGCAAGUCGAACGGCAGCACGGGGGCAACCCUGGUGGCGAGUGGCGAACGGGUGAGUAAUACAUCGGCACGUGUCCUGUAGUGGGGGAUAGCCCGGCGAAAGCCGGAUUAAUACCGCAUACGAUCUACGGAAGAAAGCGGGGGAUCGCAAGACCUCGCGCUAUAGGGGCGGCCGAUGGCAGAUUAGCUAGUUGGUGGGGUAAAGGCCUACCAAGGCGACGAUCUGUAGCUGGUCUGAGAUGACGACCAGCCACACUGGGACUGAGACACGGCCCAGACUCCUACGGGAGGCAGCAGUGGGGAAUUUUGGACAAUGGGGGAAACCCUGAUCCAGCUAUGCCGCGUGUGUGAAGUAGGCCUUCGGGUUGUAAAGCACUUUUGUCCGGAAAGAAGACUUCUGCCCUAAUACGGUGGGAGGAUGACGGUACCGGAAGAAUAAGCACCGGCUA